UACGUAGGGUACGAGCGUUGUCCGGAAUUAUUGGGCGUAAAGAGCUCGUAGGCGGCUUGUCGCGUCUGCCGUGAAAACCCAGGGCUCAACUCUGGGCGUGCGGUGGGUACGGGCAGGCUAGAGUGCGGUAGGGGAGAUUGGAAUUCCUGGUGUAGCGGUGGAAUGCGCAGAUAUCAGGAGGAACACCGAUGGCGAAGGCAGAUCUCUGGGCCGUAACUGACGCUGAGGAGCGAAAGCAUGGGGAGCGAACAGG
rnacentral:rRNA from 1 species